AAAUAUAAAAAAUAACAAAUAAUUAUAAGACUGUGAAUUAUAUAUUACGAAAGUAAUUACUGUCAACACUAAAAUAAAAUAUAGACCCGUGGUAUACCGCGGGUUAAAAUCUAGUAUAUACUAAAACUGUUGGG
rnacentral:sRNA from 1 species